UGAAGAGUUUGAUCAUGGCUCAGAUUGAACGCUGGCGGCAGGCCUAACACAUGCAAGUCGAACGGUAACAGGAAGCAGCUUGCUGCUUUGCUGACGAGUGGCGGACGGGUGAGUAAUGUCUGGGAAACUGCCUGAUGGAGGGGGAUAACUACUGGAAACGGUGGCUAAUACCGCAUAACGUCGCAAGACCAAAGAGGGGGACCUUCGGGCCUCUUGCCAUCAGAUGUGCCCAGAUGGGAUUAGCUUGUUGGUGAGGUAACGGCUCACCAAGGCGACGAUCCCUAGCUGGUCUGAGAGGAUGACCAGCCACACUGGAACUGAGACACGGUCCAGACUCCUACGGGAGGCAGCAGUGGGGAAUAUUGCACAAUGGGCGCAAGCCUGAUGCAGCCAUGCCGCGUGUAUGAAGAAGGCCUUCGGGUUGUAAAGUACUUUCAGCGGGGAGGAAGGUGUUGUGGUUAAUAACCACAGCAAUUGACGUUACCCGCAGAAGAAGCACCGGCUAACUCCGUGCCAGCAGCCGCGGUAAUACGGAGGGUGCAAGCGUUAAUCGGAAUUACUGGGCGUAAAGCGCACGCAGGCGGUCUGUCAAGUCGGAUGUGAAAUCCCCGGGCUCAACCUGGGAACUGCAUUCGAAACUGGCAGGCUUGAGUCUUGUAGAGGGGGGUAGAAUUCCAGGUGUAGCGGUGAAAUGCGUAGAGAUCUGGAGGAAUACCGGUGGCGAAGGCGGCCCCCUGGACAAAGACUGACGCUCAGGUGCGAAAGCGUGGGGAGCAAACAGGAUUAGAUACCCUGGUAGUCCACGCCGUAAACGAUGUCUACUUGGAGGUUGUGCCCUUGAGGCGUGGCUUCCGGAGCUAACGCGUUAAGUAGACCGCCUGGGGAGUACGGCCGCAAGGUUAAAACUCAAAUGAAUUGACGGGGGCCCGCACAAGCGGUGGAGCAUGUGGUUUAAUUCGAUGCAACGCGAAGAACCUUACCUGGUCUUGACAUCCACAGAACUUUCCAGAGAUGGAUUGGUGCCUUCGGGAACUGUGAGACAGGUGCUGCAUGGCUGUCGUCAGCUCGUGUUGUGAAAUGUUGGGUUAAGUCCCGCAACGAGCGCAACCCUUAUCCUUUGUUGCCAGCGGUCCGGCCGGGAACUCAAAGGAGACUGCCAGUGAUAAACUGGAGGAAGGUGGGGAUGACGUCAAGUCAUCAUGGCCCUUACGACCAGGGCUACACACGUGCUACAAUGGCGCAUACAAAGAGAAGCGACCUCGCGAGAGCAAGCGGACCUCAUAAAGUGCGUCGUAGUCCGGAUUGGAGUCUGCAACUCGACUCCAUGAAGUCGGAAUCGCUAGUAAUCGUGGAUCAGAAUGCCACGGUGAAUACGUUCCCGGGCCUUGUACACACCGCCCGUCACACCAUGGGAGUGGGUUGCAAAAGAAGUAGGUAGCUUAACCUUCGGGAGGGCGCUUACCACUUUGUGAUUCAUGACUGGGGUGAAGUCGUAACAAGGUAACCGUAGGGGAACCUGCGGUUGGA
rnacentral:rRNA from 1 species